rnacentral:sRNA from 1 species
CCACCGUGCCCUCAUUGGGCGUUUCCUCCCUAGACUUGGGCCGCCGACGACAGUUGGCGGUUCUUUUUUUGCCUAU